CCACGAGGGAGACGGAAGAUGGAUGCCAACAUACAGGACUCGGCAUGAACUAUCUAAUCCAAAGGACAGGACAACUUUCUGCAAGGAUCUGUCUAAUCUGCCUGUCCCCAGUCUGAUUGUUUGGUGGGAAGGACAGAACCUGGAUGCCCACAAGAUGGAAGACAGCUUCCACUGAAAAAGGUACUGAUGGAAACACUUGGAAGAUUCUCCCCAAAUGGGAACACAAGAGAUUCAGCUUUUCCUGCCUUUAUAAGCUAUGUUUUCCUUUUGUCGAGAGGCUUAUUCUCGCUGAUGAGAUAAGAAUGGGAAGAUGCAUUGAUUUCUGAGCACUCUCUCUCUCUCUCUCUCUCUCAUUUUCCCUCUGUAACGCAUGGGAAAUGAAUACAUACCUCUCCAGAGUCUGUUGACCCUUCACAGCUUUUGUGUGUGUGUG